CCAGCUGCUGAGCCUGCCAAGCCUGCAGCUGUGCUUGUGAACCAAGCCAAUUGCUUCUUGCUGCGCCAACAAUUGGCAUCAAGAGUCUGGUUCAAUCACAGGACAAGAGUGAAUUGUGAAGGAAUCAAGUGGAGAAACACAAAGUGAAGCUGUGUAGAUUGAUUUCUUGAAAAUUCAAGAUGAACACCCAAGGUUUUGGUACAAACAUUCUGAUUCUUGAUGGAAAGAAUUGGGAUAUAUGAAGUGC
rnacentral:lncRNA from 1 species